AACACUUUUAGCACAAUAAAGGAAGCACACUGGUGCUCCUAGGCGCUAAGAGCUGGCAACAACAUAAACAACAAAGUAGGAGCAAUAUCAAAAUGACAUGGACCACAGGACAUUUGAAAAAACAAGGAGAAUUUAGUACAAAAUUCCUACUACAACAAUUAGGUUUCUGAGGUGCUCUGCAUUUACUGGGGACAAUGCAAACCUGCGCUUGGGUGGAAUGCGGAUUUGAGAGCAGAUUGGGGGAGACGUUCGCAACAUUUUGAGUUCAGAACUCAUUUCAGGUAACCUUGUCAACCAUUUGCCGGUCAGGAUCUAUGCAGUGGAGUCGAAGGCUGAAGGAAGAGACCGAAGAGUCAGAAAGGAUCAAAAUGGUCAAUAUUUACAGUCCUGUGGAAGGGUUUCCAGCACAUGGAGAGCGUGCAAAGGUGAAGGGCAGGCCUGGAGGGCAAAAUGAAAGAGCCCACGCAAGGUUCACAAUGACCAGGGGAAGCUGGAGGUUUAUUUUGAACCGGAGGUAAGAAAUACCAAAACAGAAUUGCACAACCACAUUACAGUGUUACAUGCCCGAACCAACACCCCUUAAAACCUACAGCACGAGGAAAGGGUCUCUUAUCCUUUACUCAGAGGACUUGGCCUUGUCAUCAUGGCAACCUGGCAGGCCAGGCAGGAAGAGGAAAGGCCUGCAAGGCCAUGUGUGGUACGGACAAGAUAUGGAACUGGAGCUUCAUACCCUAAGGGACCUGACAGCAGCCACCUUGGCUUAUGGGAACAAACAGAGAACCCAGAACCACAGUUACCAGUAUGAGCUCUCCACUGCUCCCUGGCCCUAUAAAGCACUCCCAGGAUGCCUGCCAACCCUUGAGACGGUUCAUGAGGGUUUUCCAUGCUGGCAAGACAGUGGAGGUCUGCCUA